UGCAGUGGCGAACGGGUGAGUAACACGUGAGUAACCUGCCCCAGACUCUGGGAUAAGCCUUGGAAACGAGGUCUAAUACUGGAUAUGAGACGCCCCUGCAUGGGAGUGUCUGGAAAGAUUUAUCGGUCUGGGAUGGACUCGCGGCCUAUCAGCUUGUUGGUGGGGUAAUGGCCUACCAAGGCGACGACGGGUAGCCGGCCUGAGAGGGCGACCGGCCACACUGGGACUGAGACACGGCCCAGACUCNUACGGGAGGCAGCAGUGGGGAAUAUUGCACAAUGGGCGCAAGCCUGAUGCAGCGACGCCGCGUGAGGGAUGAAGGCNUUCGGGUUGUAAACCUCUUUCAGCAGGGAAGAAGCGCAAGUGACGGUACCUGCAGAAGAAGCGCCGGCUACUACGUGCCAGCAGCCGCGGUAAUACGUAGAGGGCCAGCGUUGUCCGGAAUUAUUGGGCGUAAAGAGCUCGUAGGCGGUUUGUCGCGUCUGGUGUGAAAACUCAAGGCUCAACCUUGAGCUUGCAUCGGGUACGGGCAGGCUAGAGUGCGGAAGGUGGGGAUGACGUCAAAUCAUCAUUCNCCUUAUGUCUUAGGCUUCACGCAUGCUACAAUGGCCGGUACAAAGGGCUCNAUACCGCCAGGUGGAGCGAAUCCCAAAAAGCCGGUCUCAGUUCGGAUUGGGGUCUGCAACUCGACCCCAUGAAGUCGGAGUCGCUAGUAAUCGCA
rnacentral:rRNA from 1 species